rnacentral:rRNA from 1 species
GAUGAACGCUAGCGGCAGGCUUAAUACAUGCAAGUCGUGGGGCAGCAUGAGUAGCAAUACUUGAUGGCGACUGGCAAACGGGUGAGGAACACGUACACAACCUUCCUUCAAGCGGGGAAUAGCCCAGAGAAAUUUGGAUUAAUACCCCAUAAUAUAUUUGAUAAGGCAUCUUAUUAAUAUUAAAGCUUCGGCACUUGAUGAUGGGUGUGCGGCUGAUUAGAUAGUUGGCGGGUAACGGCCCACCAAGUCUACGAUCAGUAGCUGAUGUGAGAGCAUGAUCAGCCACACGGGCACUGAGACACGGGCCCGACUCCUACGGGAGGCAGCAGUAAGGAAUAUUGGACAAUGGACGAAAGUCUGAUCCAGCCAUGCCGCGUGAAGGAUUAAGGUCCUCUGGAUUGUAAACUUCUUUAUAUGGGACGAAAAAGGGCAUUCUUGUUCACUUGACGGUACCAUAUGAAUAAGCACCGGCUAACU